CCUUGGCUGGGUGCAGGGGACACCACUGCCGUGGGAUGCUGACCGAGGGCGCUCCCUGGUCCUCCUGCCCCACCGCAGUGUCCUCACAUCUGCAUCUGCACGAGCAGGGAAGGCUCAGCUCAAUGGGAGAGGAGCGGGAAUGAUUCAGUGCCCGUAUUAAGCAGAUUUAUGAGGUUAUUUCUCCAAUGAAGGCAGUGUGGCGUGCGUGUGUCACGCUGGCCUGGCCCAGGCUGCAUCGCGGCGCUGCCAAACCUCAGCCCUUCCACUGAAACAGCUUCAAAGGGCAAUAAAACAAGGAUAAACACCGCCGCACUGGCUCUGGGGCCACAGGGUUGUUUCUCCUCUCGCCCGUGUUUCCAUCUCCCCUCUGUGACCUCGGUGGGAUGUGGGGCCACCUCCCCGUCCCACAACCUGGCUCCAUGGAACAAGCCCGUGCUUGGGCUUAAACCAGCAGAAAAAGGGUCCUGGGAUGUUUCUGCCCGCCCUUUGUUUUCAAGCUACGAAGGAGGUUGCAACCUUCCAAGAAAUGCGUCCCUGGGAUCCUGCCCAGUGGGCGAGAGGACAGCCCCGGAACAUCACAGCAAGGAGGGAAGAUCGAAAACAAGUGAGGAACCAGGAAAAAAAGAAAAGACUAUAUAUAUAAACACGCCGGGCAGAAGCGCCAGCACUUCGUGCUCUGG